CCGCUGUUAUUUUCGUUUGUCUCUGGGUGGAAGUUUAUGGGAAACUUAGUAACACGAGGUUUGUCAGUCAAGAUAUUUCGUUGUACUCGGUCGAUUAUAACUCGUGCAGGUGGUUCUUCUUUAAGCUGCUCAUCAUUAUAAUCAUUGUUCACAUAGUAACCCACUCUAAUGAACUCUUGUCCAAGAUACGAGCAAGUAAGAAGCAGGACCGUCACUCCUAUUAUGUCCUCAUCCCCAAUCUUUGAAGGAUCAGGUGGGUUUGCCUGAAUACAACCAAAUAACAAUUCAAUUUUAUUAAUCAACCAUGUCUAAUUCAAUCACUUAUUUUUUAAGAAACAAACCAUGCCUGAAACACGAAGCGGUAGUUUCCAAUAUUCACCGGACCAACAAGAACACUCUCAAGAAGUUGAUCGUAAGUCUCGUCCUCAGCUG
rnacentral:lncRNA from 1 species